CACCACAACGGGUGGAGCCUGCGGUUUAAUUGGACUCAACGCCGGGCAGCUCACCGGAUAAGACAGCUGGAUGAUAGCCGGGCUGAAGACUCUGCUUGACUAGCUGAGAGGAGGUGCAUGGCCGUCGUCAGUUCGUACUGUGAAGCAUCCUGUUAAGUCAGGCAACGAGCGAGACCCACGCCAACAGUUGCCAGCAUGUCCUCCGGGAUGAUGGGGACACUGUUGGGACCGCCUCUGCUAAAGAGGAGGAAGGAAUGGGCAACGGUAGGUCAGCAUGCCCCGAAUUAUCCGGGCUACACGCGGGCUACAAUGGUCAGGACAAUGGGUAUCGACACCGAGAGGUGGAGGCAAUCUCCUAAACCUGUCCUUAGUCCGGAUUGUGGGCUGCAACUCGCCCACAUGAAGCUGGAAUCCGUAGUAAUCGCGUUUCAAAAUAGCGCGGUGAAUAUGUCCCUGCUCCUU
rnacentral:rRNA from 1 species